AGCUCAACCAUAAAGCUCUAGUUUGGUUUUAUAGAGUUUCCGGGAAAACUCUUAGGUCGAAUCUACCUUGAAAGAUUUCUAGGUUUUUAAGAGUUCCUUGAUACUCUAAGGUACUAACUUACCCGUAAAAGUUAGAGGUUCUUAAGAGUGCCCUUGAUACUCUAAGGUGUGAGUCUACCCGUAAAAGACUGGUUCCUAAGCGAAGUAGCCUUAAAGCUUAGAGAGGUUUUUAAGAGUUCCUUGAUACUCUAAGGUACUAACUUACCCGCAAAAGUUAGAGAUUCUUAAGAGUGCCCUUGAUACUCUAAGGUGUGAGUCUACCCGUAAAAGACUGGUUCCUAAGCGAAGUAGCCCUAAAGCUUAGAGAGGUUCUUAAAAGUUUCCUUGAUACUCUAAGGUUUUGCCAUAACCUUUAGGCGAG
rnacentral:lncRNA from 1 species